AGCAGCCGCGGUAAUUCCAGCUCCAAUAGCGUAUAUUAAAGUUGUUGCAGUUAAAAAGCUCGUAGUUGAAUUUCGGGAUCAAUACGUUGGUCGUGCUUUCGGGUACGUACUGGCGUCGUUGGUUUCUCUCUUCUGACGAACCAUGAUGUCAUUAGUUUGGUGUUAUGGGGAGUUAGGACUGUUACUUUGAAAAAAUUAGAGUGUUUAAAGCAGGCAUUAGCUUGAAUACAUUAGCAUGGAAUAAUGAAAUAGGACGUUUGAUCCUAUUUUGUUGGUUUCUAGGAUCGACGUAAUGAUUAAUAGGGAUAGUUGGGGGCAUUAGUAUUCAAUUGUCAGAGGUGAAAUUCUUGGAUUUAUUGAAGACUAACUACUGCGAAAGCAUUUGCCAAGGAUGUUUUCAUUAAUCAAGAACGAAAGUUAGGGGAUCGAAGACGAUCAGAUACCGUCGUAGUCUUAACCAUAAACUAUGCCGACUAGGGAUCGGAUGAUGUUAAUUUUUAAUGACUCAUUCGGCGCCUUA
rnacentral:rRNA from 1 species